GGAAUCUUGCGCAAUGGGCGAAAGCCUGACGCAGCAACGCCGCGUGCGGGAAGAAGGCUUUCGGGCUGUAAACCGCUUUCAGUAGGAACGAAACUGACGGUACCUACAGAAGAAGGAGCGGCCAACUAUGUGCCAGCAGCCGCGGUGACACAUAGGCUCCAAGCGUUGUCCGGAUUUAUUGGGCGUAAAGAGCUCGUAGGCGGUUGAGUAAGUCGGGUGUGAAAACUUUGGGCUUAACCCAAAGAUGCCACUCGAUACUGCUUUGACUUGAGUUCGGUAGGGGAGUGGGGAAUUCCUUGUGUAGCGGUGAAAUGCGCAGAUAUAAGGAGGAACACCGGUGGCGAAGGCGCCACUCUGGGCCGAUACUGACGCUGAGGAGCGAAAGCGUGGGGAGCAAACAGGAUUAGAUACCCUGGUAGUCCACGCGGUAAACGGUGGUCACUAGGUGGGGGUCUCUUCAAACGAGAUCUGCGCCGUCGCUAACGCAUUAAGUGACCCGCCUGGGGAGUACGGUCGCAAGACUAAAACUCAAAUGAAUUGACGG
rnacentral:rRNA from 1 species